CUGUCAGUUUCAUUAGGAGCCUCAUUCACUAACCGUUUCUUCAGGUACAAGGUUCCACGUCGUCAUCAGUCUGGGUACUUGUUCCCUUUUCCUGGUUCUGCUAGCUGUGUGUGUGCUGUGUGUUCUCCAACGCAAGUGUGGGGUUCAAGGCAGGCCUGUAAAUACUGGAAGCCCACCUGAGCAGCAAGACCAAACCUCACCUUGUGUCUAUUCUGUCAUCACAAAGCCUUCUAGGGAUGAGG